GUGGUUUCACUUUCAAUGAUGUGUGGUGGUGAUGGUAUCUUUUGUCAACCUCGUGUAGUGGUGUGACUGAUUAUUGACUUCUUUGGGUUACUUAUUGUUUAUAUAUAUUUUUUAUUAACAUAAUACACUCUACAGGUAUUGCAGAUAUCAUGGGUAGAAGAUUUGGAAUCCAUAAAAUUCCUUACAACAAACAGAAUAGUUGGGCUGGUAGCAUCUCUAUGUUUACAGUUGGUUUCUUAAUCUAAACCGGGAAUGAAUUCAAUCGCUAGAGAGCAGGUCGCGGGAACUGGGGAAGUCAGACUGAUGAAAUUGCUAGGUUCGUGGGCCGAAAUGUGCAUGCAGACUUGCAACAUGGUACUAACAUAAUCAUGCUGGAACGUGGUUAUAAAGUUUGGGAAGCAUCUGGUAAACCUGUUCGCCGUUGCAGUGGAACGACCUGCAAAGGAGGGUGAUAAAUCCAAGCCUUGAUAACAUUAUACGCUAUUUGCACUAUUUAUUAUACAUCAUCUGAUAAAAUACAAGAAGUUUUGCCAGGUUAGUUACCCAACUAAAUUCCUUGUGUAUAAUCUUACAUAGUAAACGGCCAAUACUCUGUUCAUUGGAAACAUAUAUUGAUGUUUUGGAAGUCAUUAUAUAUUUAAAUCCACAUGUUAUGUACGAUAUUGAGAUCUUUUGACUGAAAAAGUCGAAUUACAGUGCAAAGCACUCGGGACUUGACAAGCGAGUUGGAGCAAGGUUUGAAAAUUGAAACUUUUUUGAUCUAUUUUGCUGCAGUAUUUUGAAUUAACUUCUUUGUGCCAUAUGGUUUUAUGAACAUGAAUUCUUACUUGAUUAUAAAACUCUUAAUUUAAUUAGAUUAUCAUAUGUUGGCUGGUAGUUUGUCUGCUUCACGGUUCCGAUUCCAUCAAAUUGCUCUGAGAGAACGUUUUACUUCGGAUAUUCAGAAGGUUGUUGAUAAGUUGAAAAUUUGUUUCUAGAACAACCACAAGGAAGCGUCGCCGGCGACAGGAGAUCAGAUUCGUUAUUUUAAUUUAUUUUUUGUUUUUUAUAUUCUGACUUGAUUUAAUUGAUUUUGUGGUUUAUUAGAUUUUGUUCGGUUCAAAAGGUACUGGUCGAAACAGUUCGCGUCGAAACGGUUCAAAGUUUGAAGAUCUCAAAAUGAAAGCAUUCAAUGGGAGAUGAAAUCUACUAAAGGGCAUCAAGAAGACGAUUACGGCGCCAAAAAGAUAAUUACCCAUCUUCAAAAGGCAUGUUUUUCCUUUCAGUUUGAUAGAUUUUUGUGAAAUUGUUGUAAUUUUGGGUGUUCAUUGAAUUGGGGAUAGUGCAGAUGGGAAGAACAGUGAUGCUACUAGGUCCAAGCAAUCUAUGACGGAGCAACACAGAAGGAACAAGAUUAAUGAAAGCUUUGUGUUUGUUUUAUCAUAAUUUGAGUGACUUAUACUCUAAUUUAACAAGAUGUAUCUCAUUUCUUACAAUAAUACCCGUCUUUAAAUUAUUAUAUCCGUCAAACAGUUUAACACCUGAUUUACAACUUCAAACAUGCCCAACCUUUAAUUUUUUUGCUGGCCGGUUUUGUUAUAACUAAUUCUUUGCUUUUUAAUGUCAUAUAAUCACUUUCCGAAUGCACAUUUAACUACAGACAUGAUAUUAUUAUUCAUAAAAAAACAUACAUAUUCGUGAGAUUUAAGGAGUAAUAAGUUUAAUUUUUGAUGUUAGCAACUUAACAUGUUGAUAUUUGUUGUUUUUAUAGGUAUUGGUGUUCUUUUGGUCCAGAUGAUCACAGAAAAGGAGGUAUAGUUAGACCAAGCAGGAAUACUUAUGUACCAAUGAAAAUAUCUGCUGGUAGAGUGAACACAAAAAGAGGGUACACUUGACGCUUCAUUGUCGAACGUUUAAUCGCUGAACCAUCUGUGGCGUUAGUCAUAUAUAACCAAGAUAAGCAUGUUGAUAAAGAGAGAUUGCCAUGUCAUGGACCACAAGACAAGAAGGCUAUCGGAACACGUGCCAUGUAUGCACCAUUUAUUUCAGAGGAUCUACGGCUAAGCGUCUUUAUUACGCGUCGGAAUUCCAGUUGAAACAAUUAUGCAAAGGCACAAUGAAUCAGUGGAGAAACAAGGAGGUGUAUCUAAUAGAGAUGAUCUUUUAACACAUAGUUAUGUGAGGAUACAAUAAAGGAAUAUCAGGCGAGCAAGUUGUGAACUUGAUGAAUGAUGACGUAAGCAUCAGUUUGUGGGUUGAAAGCCAUCAGAAUCAUGUGUUCUUUUAUGAGGAUUUAACUGAUAAUGAUCCGCUUUGUUGGUGAAUUAGUUUGUGAACUUGCUUGCAAGUGUUUUUUACUGCAAUUUUAUCUGCAAAUAAGCUAUGAUUUCUCUCA